GAUGAACGCUGGCGGCGUGCUUAACACAUGCAAGUCGAACGGGAAACAUUUUAUUGAAGCUUCGGCAGAUUUAGAUUGUUUCUAGUGGCGGACGGGUGAGUAACGCGUGGGUAACCUGCCUUAUACCGGGGGAUAACAGCCAGAAAUGACUGCUAAUACCGCAUAAGCGCACAGAACCGCAUGGUUCCGUGUGAAAAACUCCGGUGGUAUAAGAUGGACCCGCGUUGGAUUAGCUAGUUGGCAGGGCAGCGGCCUACCAAGGCGACGAUCCAUAGCCGGCCUGAGAGGGUGAACGGCCACAUUGGGACUGAGACACGGCCCAGACUCCUACGGGAGGCAGCAGUGGGGAAUAUUGCACAAUGGGGGAAACCCUGAUGCAGCGACGCCGCGUGAAGGAAGAAGUAUCUCGGUAUGUAAACUUCUAUCAGCAGGGAAGAUAAUGACGGUACCUGACUAAGAAGCCC
rnacentral:rRNA from 1 species